AUUGAACGCUGGCGGCAGGCUUAACACAUGCAAGUCGAGCGGGGUGAAGUGCUUCGGUACUGAUCCUAGCGGCGGACGGGUGAGUAAUGCUUAGGAAUCUGCCAUUUAGUGGGGGACGACAUUCCGAAAGGGAUGCUAAUACCGCAUACGUCCUACGGGAGAAAGCAGGGGAUCUUCGGACCUUGCGCUAAAUGAUGACCCUAAGUCGGAUUAGCUAGUUGGUGGGGUAAAGGACUACCAAGGCGACGAUCUGUAGCGGGUCUGAGAGGAUGAUCCGCCACACUGGGACUGAGACACGGCCCAGACUCCUACGGGAGGCAGCAGUGGGGAAUAUUGGACAAUGGGCGGAAGCCUGAUCCAGCCAUGCCGCGUGUGUGAAGAAGGCCUUUUGGUUGUAAAGCACUUUAAGCGAGGAGGAGGCUACCUAGAUUAAUACUCUGGGAUAGUGGACGUUACUCGCAGAAUAAGCACCGGCUAACUCUGUGCCAGCAGCCGCAGUAAUAC
rnacentral:rRNA from 1 species